rnacentral:rRNA from 1 species
UACAGAGGGUGCGAGCGUUAAUCGGAAUUACUGGGCGUAAAGCGCGCGUAGGCGGCUUUGCAAGUCGGGUGUGAAAUCCCCAGGCUUAACCUGGGAACUGCAUUCGAGACUGCAUUGCUAGAGUAUGGGAGAGGGAAGUGGAAUUUCCGGUGUAGCGGUGAAAUGCGUAGAUAUCGGAAGGAGCAUCAGUGGCGAAGGCAGCUUACUGGGCUGUAACUGACGCUGAUGCACGAAAGUGUGGGGAUCAAACAGG